AUUGAGACUACUCGAGGUGUAUAUGCCUUUCUAUGUAAUUUCCGCGACCGUUCGGGGACUCAAUGGAUGCAGCAUGCAGGGGAGGAAAUCUUCAUGUUUUUCAAUAGCUCCUUCAAAGAAUUGCUAACAAGUGAAACUUCAUGGCUCUGAUCCAUUAUAAUCGCUGGUGUUCAGAACCAGCACGUAUAAUUAAAUGCUAUUGAUAAAACAAACUGAAAUACCA